rnacentral:rRNA from 1 species
UCAGAUUGAACGCUGGCGGCAUGCCUUACACAUGCAAGUCGAACGGCAGCACGGGAGCUUGCUCCUGGUGGCGAGUGGCGAACGGGUGAGUAAUACAUCGGAACGUACCCUGAAGUGGGGGAUAACGUAGCGAAAGUUACGCUAAUACCGCAUAUUCUGUGAGCAGGAAAGAGGGGGGAUCGCAAGACCUCUUGCUUUAGGAGCGGCCGAUGUCGGAUUAGCUAGUUGGUGAGGUAAAGGCUCACCAAGGCGACGAUCCGUAGCGGGUCUGAGAGGAUGAUCCGCCACACUGGGACUGAGACACGGCCCAGACUCCUACGGGAGGCAGCAGUGGGGAAUUUUGGACAAUGGGCGCAAGCCUGAUCCAGCCAUGCCGCGUGAGUGAAGAAGGCCUUCGGGUUGUAAAGCUCUUUCGGUGGGGAAGAAAUUGCUUCGGCUAAUACCUGGAGUAGAUGACGGUACCCGCAUAAGAAGCACCGGCUAACUACGUG